UUGUGGGUGGGGCCAGAGGGCGGGGCGAGCGGAGAGCACGGAGGCUGGGGUGGGGCUCCUGGGGUGGAGCCUUGAGAAGAAAGGUGUGAGGUUUCUUCUCAGUCUCCCAAGAGACAGAACAAAAGAACUAAAGUACGGGCGAGAAAGGUGUUUUCGCUACACCUCACUAUUAAGACAAUGAAACACGAGUUCUGAAACAAAUGUUGGCCGUACCGACGUACUGUACGUGUUAACUUGCUAGCGUGGAAACAUGGAAAAACGCGUCCGUUGACGAAAAUGAGAAAGCCUGGGGUUCUUGGAGUUAUCAAUGUUCAUAGUUUUUUCAAAAGAAUGCUUUCAUUUCUUUUGCUCAAAGGAAGACCGUAUGCUGGUGCUCCAAAAUGCCAAAAUAAAACUUUUCAUUCGGGAAGUGUGUUGAAACCAGAUGUGGUGAUGCAGGCCCACACAGUCCUAGCCCUUGGGAUGCUGAAAUAGGAAAAUGCAGUUUUAAGACACCCUGCAAUGUAUAGUGAGACUCUUCCCCCACCUCCCAGAAGAUGCAAACAGGAUCUUGCUGUUUUGCAGGAUGGUCUCCUUUUUACCAUCCUCUGCCUCAGCCUCUCAAAUGCUGGCAUAAAGAGUCUCCGAGGAUGUGCAUAAGCUAUUUCCAGUCACCAGGAUCUCAGGAUUUUAAAGCCUCUUCCUUACCAAGAUUCCACUUUAGAGGUUACUUACACGAGCACUAUUAAAAAAAGGCAGGAAAAAAUAACAUGGUUGGAUUUUCUGACAUGAAAAUCGCACAGCUUUUUAAGUUCCUUUAUUGGACUCCUCAAUAUGUGCUUUUUUUUUUGUUUGCUUGUUUGA